UACGUAGGGGGCGAGCGUUGUCCGGAAUUAUUGGGCGUAAAGAGCGUGUAGGCGGUUCGGUAAGUCUGCCGUGAAAACCUGGGGCUCAACCCCGGGCGUGCGGUGGAUACUGCCGGGCUAGAGGGUGGUAGAGGCGAGUGGAAUUCCUGGUGUAGCGGUGAAAUGCGCAGAUAUCAGGAAGAACACCAAUGGCGAAAGCAGCUCUCUGGGACGGUACUGACGCUGAGACGCGAAAGCGUGGGGAGCGAACAGG
rnacentral:rRNA from 1 species